CCUACGGGGGCUGCAGUGGGGAAUAUUGCACAAUGGGGGAAACCCUGAUGCAACGACGCCGCGUGAGUGGAGAAGUAUUUCGGUAUGUAAAGCUCUAUCAGCAGGGAAGAUAAUGACGGUACCUGACUAAGAAGCCCCGGCUAACUACGUGCCAGCAGCCGCGGUAAUACGUAGGGGGCAAGCGUUAUCCGGAUUUACUGGGGGUAAAGGUUGCGUAGGUGGGAGGGCAAGUCAGAUGUGAAAGCCCCGGGCUCAACCCGGGUACUGCAUUUGAUACUGGCCAGCUGGAGUGUAGGAGAGGUAAGCGGAAUUCCGAGUGUAGCGGUGAAAUGCGUAGAGAUUAGGAGGAACACCAGUGGCGAAGGCG
rnacentral:rRNA from 1 species